rnacentral:rRNA from 1 species
GUAGUCCACGCAGUAAACGAUGAUUACUAGGAGUUUGCGAUAUAGUGUAAGCUCUACAGCGAAAGCGUUAAGUAAUCCACCUGGGGAGUACGCCGGCAACGGUGAAACUCAAAGGAAUUGACGGGGGCCCGCACAAGCGGAGGAACAUGUGGUUUAAUUCGAUGAUACGCGAGGAACCUUACCCGGGAUUGAAAUGUACCUGACGAACUGCGAGAGUGGUUUUCCAGCAAUGGCAGGUAUGUAGGUGCUGCAUGGUUGUCGUCAGCUCGUGCCGUGAGGUGUCGGCUUAAGUGCCAUAACGAGCGCAACCCUGACUGUCAGUUGCUAACAGGUUAAGCUGAGGACUCUGGCGGGACUGCCGGCGUAAGCUGUGA